rnacentral:sRNA from 1 species
GUUUCACUACGGUGUUGGUGACUGCCAAUAAUGUUUCUUGAUCUAUGCUUUUAACGUAAGGGCAUCGAACGGAUACGCGGUGGCAGUAUACCGGGCUUGUACCCGGAAACUAUAAAUCGCGACCACGGGCCCACCUGGAU